rnacentral:rRNA from 1 species
CCUACGGGUGGCAGCAGUGAGGAAUAUUGGUCAAUGGACGAGAGUCUGAACCAGCCAAGUAGCGUGAAGGAUGACUGCCCUAUGGGUUGUCAACUUCUUUUAUAUGGGAAUAAAAUGUUCCACGUGUGGGAUUUUGUAUGUACCAUAUGAAUAAGGAUCGGCUAACUCCGUGCCAGCAGCCGCGGUAAUACGGAGGAUCCGAGAGUUAUCCGGAUUUAUUGGGUUUAAAGGGAGCGUAGGUGGAUUGUUAAGUCAGUUGUGAAAGUUUGCGGCUUAACCGUAAAAUUGCAGUUGAAACUGGCAGUCUUGAGUACAGUAGAGGUGGGCGGAAUACGUGGUGUAGCGGUGAAAUGCUGAGAGAACACGAAGAACUCCGAUGGCGAAGGCAGCACACUGGACUGCAACUGACACUGAGGCUCGAAAGUGUGGGGAUCAAACAGGAGUAGAGACCCUUGUAGUC